rnacentral:rRNA from 1 species
AUGCAUGUGUCAGUACAGGCCGCUCUAAGGCGAAACCGCGAAUGGCUCAUUAAAUCAGUUAUGAUUCAUUUGAUCUCACUCCCAUUACUUGGAUAACCCUGGUAAUUCUAGAGCUAAUACGUGACAACAACUACUCCGACUGGAAGGGAGGAGUGCUUUUAUUAGAUGAAAACCAAUCGGGCCUCGGUCCGCCAAACACAAACUGUGCUGAUUCUGAAUAACUUUGUGCCGAGAGCAUGGCCUCCGCGCCGGCUCCGUAUCUUUCGAGUUUCUGCCUUAUCAUGCUGUGGAUUGUAGGCCAUGCGCCUACUGUGGCUGUUACGGGUGACGGAGAAUCAG